rnacentral:misc_RNA from 1 species
AUGAAGAACGCAGCGAAAUGCGAUAAGUAAUGUGAAUUGCAGAAUUCAGUGAAUCAUCGAAUCUUUGAACGCACAUUGCGCCCUCUGGUAUUCCGGGGGGCAUGCCUGUUCGAGCGUCAUUAUAACCACUCAAGCUCUCGCUUGGUAUUGGGGUUCGCGGUUCCGCGGCCCCUAAAAUCAGUGGCGGUGCCUGUCGGCUCUACGCGUAGUAAUACUCCUCGCGAUUGAGUCCGGUAGGUCUACUUGCCAGCAACCCCCAAUUUUUACAGGUUGACCUCGGAUCAGGUAGGGAUACCCGCUGAACUUAAGCAUAUCAAUAAGCGGAGGA